GUUAACUGCCAGAGAAGAAGCUGGCAGAAAGGAACUCAAGACUGUGAGAUGGUGAACUGUAACUGGCUGUGCCUUGAACUGUGUUGUUGCUUGGGAAGAGGAGAGAGGGCAUGCCCUCAACUCCUGCCUGUGGCUUCCAGUGGCAUCUGCAUCCUACUGACCAUCCAUCUAGUGGGGAAGCCAGAGGGGAGGUUCUACUUCAGUGACAAGUUGCAGAGCUACGUGAUGCAGGAGCACAGAUAGGUGGGCCCGGCAGGUGCAGCUUGCUUGCUUCAUCUGGUGGCGGCGACAGCAGCAAACUUUGAAAUAAAUAAUUAGAAUGCCAGCUGCAACAUCUGCGCUACAUCUUUGAUCAUCGAGCAGUUUCUAUAACAACAAUCCAAAACAGCAGACAACAUUUGCUGGAGUUUCAGGCAAAGAAAGGCCUUCCUUAUCAGGAAUGUUCUAAGAU